rnacentral:lncRNA from 1 species
GGGGAACUACUUCCAGGGGAGCGGCGCGGCGGCGCGGGAGUUGGCUCUGAAGAGUGGCGAGUCAGAAGAGACAUCAGGCAGCCAGCAACUUGGGCCAUGGCCUCUGACCUAGACUUCUCACCUCCGGAGGUGCCCGAGCCCACUUUCCUGGAGAACUUGCUACGGUACGGACUCUUCCUGGGAGCCAUCUUCCAGCUCAUCUGUGUGCUGGCCAUCAUCGUACCCAUUCCCAAGUCCCACGAGGCGCACACUGCAAGUUAUCACUCAGAGGAGGAGAGGACACUAGACAGGAGCACACGGAGCCUGUUCCAGAUUCUUCUCUGACAUGAGCCUGAGUGGCCUGGGCCAAGCUGUGUCCCUUCGCUGGAGUCUACCUUCCUUAUCAGCACAGUAAAGGCCAGGGCUGGAUCUGUGGGUUUGAACCUUUUAUUCCUUAGCAGCAGAACUUUGUUUCAUUUAAAUCUUACAAGGGACAGAUCACAGUGUAUGAAAUAGAUUGAAAAUCAGAGCUGCUCCUGUCGCCAGGGGAGUCUGGAAUUCUGCCCCAAGGCUCUCUGCCCUCCCCCACAGAGGCACCUCUGCCAGGCUCCGCAGAACACAGUGUGGAACUGCGUACCUGCUGGCGGGCCCUCUGUACCCCUCCCAGCCCUGGCAUUCUGUGGGUUGAAUGGGAGGACAAGAAUGGCAGCCAGAGGAGGGCAAGCCACAGCGAGUCUGCCCCACAGCCAGCUCCUCGCCCACAUUUUGUCCAGUCCCUGACACAGGAUGAUCGGCCAGCCACUGGAUGCAGCUGGCACUUCCUGGCUGCUUUCCACGUAGUUUUGCCUCCUCACAUCAGUCCUGUAAGGCGGGCGUGGCUAUUUCCAUUUCACAGGUGAGUAAACCAAGACACGGAAAGGGGAAGUGAGUUUCCCACAAAGUCAGUUGGCUGGAAAGGGAAGGAUCCCAGGUUCUGCCUGGGCGUCUGAGAUCCCACAAGCUGCCCCCUCCCCGUGGGGCCUCCUUUAUUCUCCACUGAGAGCCACGAUGCUCCCGGGGCAGUCCCACAUACAUGUGGGUGCUAGGUCCCGGGAAUGACGAUUUCCAUCUCUUGUGUUUCUGUGGCAUGCUUCUUUGCUUUCAGAUGUGCUCUCCUUUUGCUGGCAUCAGGCUUGAUCCAUCUAAGCAGGACUCUCCUUUUUAUCACCUCACAGGAGGCCGAACCGUCUGAGCCCAGAAGUGCUGAGGUGACGAGGAAGCCCAAGGCUGCUGUUCCUUCUGUGAACAAGAGGCCCAAGAAAGAGACUAAGAAGAAGCGGUAGAAGAGGAGGCCCGAGGAGCCGGGCAGGCAGGGAGAGGGUCUUGGGGACAGCCCUCCUGGGAAUCUACAUCCUGUUCCCCCCCAUCCCAGGCUCGGGAUCUGAGGAGGCUGUGACGCCCUCGGACCACAGAGAUCUAGACAGUCAUGACAGUCCCUAGGCUCCAGCUCGGCAAUCCAUCACUUCCUCUUCCUUCUGCUUCUGUGACGGUUUAGAGUCAAGGGGACUGAAACUGUGAGCAUAGACUGUAUUAGGUUUGUUCAGAAGCCAGUUCAGCUCACAGAGUCACAUUUUCUUAAUUAGUCAUGUGUCCAUCCUUGAGUCGCCCCCUCCUUGUGGGUUUACACUACAUUUUGGCGUCAUUAUCUAACGCUGACAAGCACACCCUCUCCCCUUAUUUGUGCACUGCAAAUCUCCUGCUAAUCAGUCACUUUUGUUGCUGCUGUGUAGACAGAGCCAGGCCUCACCUGUUUGUUUAGGCCAAGAUGCCAUGGCCACGCAAUGUUAGUGAUCCCACUGGCUGCGACAGCCAGGCCCAGAAAAUGCCUGGCGUGAGAGCCAGCAGACGGCCAGGCCAGGGUAGGCAGUGCCUGCUUCUGCUCCGUCAGGUGCAGGGUAUUUGGCUGAAGGUGUGCAUAUUUCCUGGGCACAAACUUCCUGAGCCUCCGAAAUGGGAGGCUCAUCAAUUUCAGACCAACCUCUUUUCAACCCAUCAUAGCACAUUCAAGGUGUGCCUUUUACUUCUACUUGUACAUCCCCCAUCCCUUCAAUUCUUUAAUUCCCUGACCAGUGAGCGAGUUCCUGGGGGAAGUGUGAAUAAACUGACAUGCAAGCU